AUAUAUAAGAAUCUGUGUUAUCCUCUUUAAAAUCUGUAUUAUCCUGCUUUUAAAAAAACUGAAAUAUACUGAGCCAAAAUAUAAGUGCCAUAUACUUUUGUUCUAACAGAAGCCCAACCUAUACCACAUGUUCCAUUUACAGUGGAAACAACAAACCAUAUAGAGAUUCAGUUAAUGUCAUGAAGGGAAGUAUUGAGUUUGCCUGAUGAAUUCACCUUUCAGUUUUUUUCUCUUCAUUCUGUUAUGGCACCUGCAAACUUUUAGUGACUCUACAUGUACUGGUAACAUUUAUUUUGCAAAUAUCUCUGUCUCUUUAUUUUUCUGAGAUUCAGGCAUAUAGCUGGAAGUUAAUGAAACAACUAAUUCGUACCUCAUAACAGUAAGACACGAAGCUAAAGCAGCCUUCACUAAAUGCAAGGCAGAACCCUACCAAAAGCUGGGGACAUAGCAGGAAGCCUGAGAGAGACCCCUACAUAGUACAUAACAUUUUCCUUGAAAGCAAAGCAAUCAAGUGAAAGCUAGGGAGAAAAACAGGAGGGGAGUGAAAUAAUUACCUUUUCAAAGACACACAGGGCCUUCCCUAAGAAAAAGGAAGCAGCCCUUGAAGGUUUGGGGAAUGGGAAGAGGAAGGAGAAAAACAGCCCUGAGGGACUCAGGACAUUCUUGAUCCACAUGGCAAUAACCUGUUGAAACCUGGAAGAGGAGAACUGAGAAAGAUCCCUCCAAAAUUCAUGGGGCCUUCUGACAGUGUAGGGAAUAUGGCCAAUCAAAGGAUGUAGGGCAAGGAAUCAACAUGGAAAUGGGUCUUUCAGUACAGAAAGUGAUAAUUGGUAGGGAUAGGGGAGGUGUGGUCCUGGAUGCUGGAGAGCAAAGAGAACUCCCCAACAACAAGGAAGCUCACAGGUGGGUGGUAAAGGAGAGAGACAGAGGCAGAUAUGAGAUGGGGGUGGGGUGGGGUGGAAGGAGAGCUCUACUAAAGGAAAAUCCUUGAUCCUGCCCUCAAAUGUCUGGAAGCCAGUAGUACACUAAAUCUAAGAUGGCAACAAACUGAGACCAGCUCAACCUUAAAUCAGCAACAUGACAGAGGAACUGCAUACAUGUUUCCAGAGGUAAAUAUUAUCUAGGUUAGUUUUUAUUUUUUAAUGGCAGUGUCUAGCAUAAAAUCACAAAUUAUGGUAUUCACAAGGAAAUAGGACAAUAUGACCUGAAAGCAACAGAAAAUACAGUUAAUACAGGCAAAUCUAUACUUAAGAGACAAGGACUUUAAAACAUUAUGAUAAAAUAUUAUUAAUAAAAUUUCUAAUGAGAAAGAUGGAUAGCAUGCAUAAAAAUAUGGUGUAAUUCAGCAGAAAUAUGCAAACUCUCCAUAAGAGCAAAAUGGAAAAACUAAAAAUAACAAAGUAGUAGCAGAUAUAAAGAAUGUUUUUGAUUCAUGUAAAAGCAGGCUAAAAUAACAGAAGAAAAAUGCAUUGAACUUNNNNNNNNNNNNNNNNNNNNNNNUUCAAAUUGAAAAAAAAAAAAAAGAAAAAAAAUAACUAAAGAGACUCUGAGACCAUUGGGACAAUAUCUAAUGGUCUGUCACAUGAGUAACCGGUGUCUCAGAAGAGAGAAGGAGGACUGGGGCAGAAAAAUUUGAAACAAAAAUAAUGGCUAAGAAUUUCCUAGAUUUGAUGAAAGGCAUAAACCUACAUAUCGAAGAAACUCACUGAUCUUCAGGCAGGAUAAAUACAUAGGAAACCUUACCAGAGAAUAUAUAAUGAAACUUAUGAAAAUCAAAGAAUAUNNNNNNNNNNNNNNNNNNNNNNNNNNNNNNNNNNNNNAAGAUAGUCUAUACAGAGAAAACAUUUGUAAGCACAACAACUAACCUUUUAUCAGAAACAAUGGAAAAUAUAAGACAGCAGAAUUCUCUCAAAUGCUAAAUGGGGAGGAAAAAAGUCAACCUGAGGAAGGUAAGCAAAAUAAAGAGAUUUUAAGACAAGCAAAACCUGACAUAAUUUAUCUACAAUAGACUGCAACAACCACAAGUGUUAAAUGAAUUUCUUGAAACU
ensembl:lncRNA